rnacentral:rRNA from 1 species
AACGAACGCUGGCGGCAUGCCUAACACAUGCAAGUCGAACGAGACCUUCGGGUCUAGUGGCGCACGGGUGCGUAACGCGUGGGAAUCUGCCCUUGGGUCCGGAAUAACUCAGAGAAAUUUGAGCUAAUACCGGAUGAUGACGUAAGUCCAAAGAUUUAUCGCCCAGGGGUGAGCCCGCGUAGGAUUAGCUAGUUGGUGAGGUAAAGGCUCACCAAGGCGACGAUCCUUAGCNGGUC